CGUAAUAUCACUAUCACUCUCCACCAGACUCCAGAGACAGAAACACUCAUUUUACCUUCAGAUCAUCAGAACUUCAUUAAAGUGGACAGAAAUAGAAACACAAUGAAGUGUUGGUGUUUCCACUGUUCCAACAAUCAAUAAUGUUACUGAUUAGUUUCCUCUUUUCAAAUGAAGUUAAACUCUCCUCAAACAACAGACACACACACACUUCCUGUUACACUCAGCUGUGAAGUCAGUUUGAUGUCCGAGCCGGCGUUGAUCUGCUAAUUGACUCCUUUUUCCCAGAAGGCCGAUGGAAACAACAUUCAGAACGACGAAUUAAAACACUCUGUGCUGAUGUAUGGUAGCUCAAAAGGGACAAACACUGGCUCUGGAUAGGGGUGUUCACAUUUUUUUGCCCAUUUCACCGCUUGCUGUUGCUCAAUCCUACACAGUAGUCCUUUAAUGUAUUGGUAAAUAAUCAAUAAUCAAUAGUGAAAUCUCUCUCGCUCUGUCUGCAGUCCUCGUGUCUGUGGAGGUCGCUGUUGUGUCGGAUGGACUCUGUCGCCGAAAACCAGACGAUGCACCAAACCCAGGUGUUUUCCCCGUUGCCAUAACAACGCGCUGUGUCGGCAGUCCAACCGCUGCGUGUGUCGUCGAGGUUUCCGCGGUUACCGCUGUGAGGUUCCCACGGUAACGCUGACCUCCGUCCAUCCCACUAGCAUCCAGGACCUGAUCCCCAAAAACCCCAACGGACCCCGAGAACCAGCCUCCAGACCUCCUCCCAGCCAAGUACUCAGAACGAUGAAGGUCCUCAGUCUCUCCUCCUCCUCCUCCUCCUCCUCCUCAGCUCCCUCACUACCAGAGACCAGCAGCAAACCCAAAACCUCAGACCUGGAUCCAUCCUCUACUGAGACCCACAACAAAGAGGAGCAGCCUAAGACCUCCAACAAGGGGUUUCUCCUGCAGGUGGAGAACCAGGCCUCCCCGAAAAGUCCUCCUGAGUCUAAAGCAGCUGACAGUGCUGGUCCUGGUCCAGAGUUCCCCGGGCUGAGGGGAGGGAAGAAGGAGGUGAAGACUGGAGGAGCAAAGAACCAGGUGUUGAGGUAAAUCAAGUUUAUAAUCUUUAGUGAAGUACUCGGCGAUAAAUAAAAGUACUGUGUUGAAAAUGUAACUUAGGGCUGCGGCCCUUUGCUGCGUGUCGUCCCCUCGCUCUGCCCCCCGUUCCUGUCUGUCUUCAGCUGUCACUAUAAUAAAAUAUACUUUAAAAAAAAGGAAAAAAAAGAAAAUGUAACUUAAGUAAAAGUAUAAUCAGGAAAAUG
rnacentral:lncRNA from 15 species